rnacentral:rRNA from 1 species
AAAGGAAUAGACGGGGGCUCACACAAGCGGUGGAGCAUGUGGAUCAAUUCGAAGCAACGCGAAGAACCUUACCUGGGUUUGACAUGCAUGGAUGGUCGCCUCGAAAGAGGAGUGAUCUGCCCGCAAGGGUGAAACAUGUACAGGUGCUGCAUGGCUGUCGUCAGCUCGUGCUGUGAAGUGUCGGGUUAAGUCCCUUAACGAGCGAAACCCUUAUCGUUAGUUGCCAGCGGGUCAUGCCGGGAACUCUAACGAGACUGCCGGCGUUAAGCCGGAGGAAGGUGGGGACGACGUCAAGUCAUCAUGGCCUUUAUGCCCAGGGUGUCACACGUGCUACAAUGGAGCGUACAGAGCGAAGCAAGACCGCAAGGUGGAGCAAAUCGCAGAAAACGUUCCUCAGUUCGGAUUGGGGUCUGCAACUCGACCCCAUGAAGCUGGAAUCGCUAGUAAUCGCGUAUCAGCCAUGACGCGGUGAAUGUGUUCCUGAGCCUUGUACACACCGCCCGU